UCAUCUGCUAUUUAUCUCGUAUACCCCUAUACUGUCUGUAAAUUACUACCACCCCCUCAACGUGUUACUGUACUAGUCUUUGACGAGGGUCCGAUCGAUGCACCCGCUCACCACCUCCUCCACCGCGCUCCUCCGCCUCAUCAAGUCGCUCUCGCCGGCGGUGCCGGGGGCGCACCUGUCGGCGUCCGGCAUCCACUGCCUCCUCCUCAAGGCGGGGCUCCUCCACGCCGGGGCGCACCUCCCCACCGCGCUGCUCUCCGCGUACGCCUCGCUCGGCUGCCCCGCCCACGCGCGGUCCCUGUUCGAUGAAAUGCCUGAGCGGGGCCUCGUCGCGCGCACCGCCAUGGCGCGGGCCCACGCCGCGUCCGGGCAGGCGGGCCAGGCCCUCGCUGUGUUCCGGGGAAUACUGUCGGAUGGCUUCGUCCCGGACAACGUUGCCCUGGCGGUCGUGCUUGCCGCUUGCCGUGGUGGCGCAGCUUCUUGCACGGCCAAGAGGAACCCAGGCAGGAUGGUCCAUGCUUUCAUCGUGGUCAGCGGCAUCGAGCCAGAUAUGUUCGUGUCCACCGAGCUUAUCAGGGUCUACGGGGAGCGCGGCGAGCUGGCGGUUUCCAGAAGGCUCUUCGAUGACAUGCCGGUGAGGAGCAAUGUUGCUUGGAACGCCAUGGUGCACCAGUAUGCCAGGAAUAAAGACGUGGAGGCCGCGUAUCAUCUCUUUCUCGCGAUGCCAAGGAGGGAUGUGGUUUCGUGGAACACAGUGAUAGCCGGGUAUUGCCUGGCCGGCCGGUGCAGGGAGGCGUUAGGGCUGUUCCGUCAGAUGGUAUCUCCGUCGUCAUGUCGGGUGCGUCCGAACGGACCUACCAUGAGCACCGUCCUUGGUGCCUGUGCGGGUAUCGGGUGUUUGGAGACUGGGAUUUGGGUCCACGCGUACGUUGACAAGAAUCAGAUGAAUGACGACGGCGCACUGGAUAGAUGCUUGAUAGACAUGUACGCCAAAUGCGGCAGUAUUGACAAGGCCCUGCAGGUUUUUGAGAAGGCGCCUGGGAAGAGGGACCUGUUCUCGUGGACAACGGUGAUCUGUGGACUGGCGAUGCAUGGUCGCGCUGCCGAUGCCUUGCAGAUGUUCAACAUGAUGCAAGACGGUGGCAUAUGCCCUGAUGAUGUUACUCUUGUCGGGGUCUUAAAUGCCUGUGCACAUGGAGGGUUGGUGGACCAAGGCCUUGGGUACUUCUACUCCAUGCAGGAGAAAUAUGGAAUCACACCCAAGGUUGAACACUACGGUUGUAUGGUCGAUCUUCUUGGCCGCGUCGGGCGGUUGCCAGAAGCAUACACGAUGAUAAAAACAAUGCCGAUGAAGCCUAACAUGGUUAUAUGGGGAGCUUUCUUGAGUGCCUGCAAAGUUCAUAGCUGUGUGGAACUUGGCGAGAUCGCGGCAGCAGAGGUCACUAGGUUGGAUCCAGAGGACCCUUGGGCAAGGGUCAUGAUGUCCAGCAUGUAUGCAAAAGCCCAGGAUUGGAGUGGUCUUGCCAGGGAGAGGAGGGAGAUGAACAGCCUGCUGAUGAAGAAGACUCCAGGCUGCAGCUCGGUCGAGCUCGGCGGUGAGGUGCAUGAGUUUGUUGCUGGUGGCAGCCAGCAUCCUCUGCAUGCUGAGAUUUGUACUGUCCUGGAGUUUGUGGAGGCACAGUCACCCACAGAUACAGGCUGAGGCACGCAAAGUUCUUCUUUUGAGGUUUCUGUUUUGCUGUUUUUUCUUGGCAUGUGGGGCUGUCUGAGGGUGGAUUUGUUGAGCCUCCGUAAGUGGUGCUGACUUCCUCCUUUAAUCAUGCGGAGGGCCUGAGGAAAAGAUUGGAUCGUGGGAGUUAAGCUGCCAGCGCCUAGCAAUUGUCGAAGCUGUUGUUGCCAUGUGCACAAUAUUACGGAAUCCAAUUGAACUCACAAAUGAAUGAUGGUUAUCAGGAAUAAUAAUGUUGUAGGAAGCAUUACUUACUGCCCUUAUGCAAGGGUUUCACAAAGGAGAUAGCUUUUGACAAAGAAAGAUGGCAGGGGUACAUCAAUGACUAUGGUGGAGGAAUAUUGAUGCAGUGCAGAAUUGGUUUAAAGUUGACGUAUGUUGAUCUGACAACGAUGAUUUGGCAUCAAAGACAGCAAUGUGGAUGGCAGCGUCGUGCGCCGCUGUAUGUUCGUGAUCUGACAACGAUGGUUUGGCAUCAAAGACAGGUUGAGUGGUUGUGUUCCGCCCCCUGUCAGGUUGGCUCGCGCUAGGCAACAUUUUCAUGGAGACCUUUAUGCUUGGGGCCUGGAUCAUUUGGAAGGAGGGUUUAUAGAACUACACCUGAGCUACAUAAUCAUAUCAAUAGUCUGAUAGACUCCAUGUAAUUUCACUUUUUGGCCUCUACCCUUGUUGUAAAUAUGUGAACAUAUUCACCCCAUUAAUAUAUUCAUAGCAGUAGGGGCCUUCUCUACUGUUCAAGGUAAAAA